rnacentral:rRNA from 1 species
AAGGCGGGUGUGCCCGAAAGGGAAUCGGAACACAGGUGCUGCAUGGCUGUCGUCAGCUCGUGUCGUGAGAUGUUGGGUUAAGUCCCGCAACGAGCGCAACCCUUGUCAUUAGUUGCUACAUUCAGUUGGGCACUCUAAUGAGACUGCCGGUGACAAACCGGAGGAAGGUGGGGAUGACGUCAAGUCCUCAUGGCCCUUAUGGGUAGGGCUUCACACGUAAUACAAUGGCGCGUACAGAGGGUUGCCAAGGAGCGAUCUGGAGCCAAUCCCGCAAAGCGCGUCGUAGUCCGGAUUGCAGUCUGCAACUCGACUGCAUGAAGUCGGAAUCGCUAGUAAUCGCGGAUCAGCAUGUCGCGGUGAAUACGUUCCCGGGUCUUGUACACACCGCCCGUCACACCAUGGAAGUCGGUUCUGCCUUAAGCCGCCCUUAAAAGCGUCCACGGCAGGGUCGAUGACUGGGGUGAAGUCGUAACAAGGUAACCGUAA